UAGUACGGCGAGUGAGCGGGAAGAGCUCAAAUUUAAAAUCUGGCAGGCUACGCUUGUCCGAAUUGUAAUCUCGAGAAGUGUUUUCCGCGUUGGCCUGUGUACAAGUCCCUUGGAACAGGGCGUCAUAGAGGGUGAGAAUCCCGUCCUUGACACAGACACCCAAUGCUUUGUGAUACACUCUCAAUGAGUCGAGUUGUUUGGGAAUGCAGCUCAAAAUGGGUGGUAAAUUCCAUCUAAAGCUAAAUACUGGCGAGAGACCGAUAGCGAACAAGUACCGUGAGGGAAAGAUGAAAAGCACUUUGGAAAGAGAGUCAAACAGUACGUGAAAUUGUUGAAAGGGAAACGAUUGAAGUCAGUCGUGCCUGCCUAGAUUCAGCCUUCUGGUGUAUUUCUAGGUCGGCAGGUCAGCAUCAGUUUGGGGGGGUUAACAAGGGAGCUGGGAAUGUGGCAACCUCGGUUGUGUUAUAGCCCAGUUUCGCAUUGAUCUCGCUGGACUGAGGAACGCAGUGCGCCCGCAAGGGUUGGUCUUCGGACACAUUCGCACUUAGGAUGCUGGCAUAAUGGCUUUAAACGACCCGCUGA
rnacentral:rRNA from 1 species